CUACGUAGCUCAGAGUUUGAUCCUGGCUCAGGAUGAACGCUGGCGGCGUGCCUAACACAUGCAAGUCGAGCGAACCCUUCGGGGUGAGCGGCGGACGGGUGAGUAACGCGUGGGUAACCUGCCCUGUACACACGGAUAACGUACCGAAAGGUAUGCUAAUACGAGAUAAUAUGUAAUGAUCGCAUGGUCGAUACAUCAAAGCUCCGGCGGUACAGGAUGGACCCGCGUCUGAUUAGCUAGUUGGUGAGGUAAUGGCUCACCAAGGCGACGAUCAGUAGCCGACCUGAGAGGGUGAUCGGCCACAUUGGAACCGAGACACGGUCCAA
rnacentral:rRNA from 1 species